CGGCGGACGGGUGAGUAACGCGUAGGAAUCUACCCAGUAGUGGGGGAUAGCCCGGGGAAACUCGGAUUAAUACCGCAUACGCCCUAAGGGGGAAAGGCCGGGAUCUUCGGACCGGUCGCUAUUGGAUGAGCCUGCGUAAGAUUAGCUUGUUGGUGGGGUAAAGGCCUACCAAGGCGACGAUCUUUAGCUGGUCUGAGAGGGUGACCCCCCACACUGGUACUGAGACACGGACCAGACUCC
rnacentral:rRNA from 1 species